UAGGGAAUCUUCGGCAAUGGACGAAAGUCUGACCGAGCAACGCCGCGUGAGUGAAGAAGGUUUUCGGAUCGUAAAACUCUGUUGUUAGAGAAGAACAAGGACGUUAGUAACUGAACGUCCCCUGACGGUAUCUAACCAGAAAGCCACGGCUAACUACGUGCCAGCAGCCGCGGUAAUACGUAGGUGGCAAGCGUUGUCCGGAAUUACUGGGCGUAAAGCGCACGCAGGCGGUUUGUUAAGUCAGAUGUGAAAUCCCCGGGCUCAACCUGGGAACUGCAUCUGAUACUGGCAAGCUUGAGUCUCGUAGAGGGGGGUAGAAUUCCAGGUGUAGCGGUGAAAUGCGUAGAGAUCUGGAGGAAUACCGGUGGCGAAGGCGGCCCCCUGGACAAAGACUGACGCUCAGGUGCGAAAGCGUGGGGAGCAAACAGG
rnacentral:rRNA from 1 species